AUCCUACACCUGUCUGAUUUAAUGAUUCUGUUUAAAAUUAAGUUUCCAUAUUUCCAUAAAAAGAAGACCUGAUUUGUUUCACUCAUUCAUUUUCUACCACUUUAUCCUCCACUUGAGGGUCACGGGGCUGCUGGAGCCAAUCCUAGCUGACUGCAUUCUGAGAUCAUGCAUGAUUGUCAGGAUGGAUGAGAAGACCAUCAUCGUGAUUGGCCCCAUGGGAAGUGAGGCGCUCAUUGGAGAAAAUUGCUGAAGACUGAGAAGAAAUGUCUCUUAAGGAGCAGUGGAGAACACAGACGGUGCCACACAAAGAUCAGCAGGAUGGCUCUACUGUCGCUGUGGUGUUUUGACUUUGAAGAACACUACCUGACAGGCAGGAGCAUCAACCUAGUUGAGAGCGCAACCAUGCAGACGUCGCAGCUGCGAGACGUCACAUCGCAACCACUCCUCUGUCAUGCAAGGUUAACCAUUAUAACGUAAACCUGCAACUAUUUUAUUUGUUCUAAAUAAUGUAAUAUAUUCAAGUAAAGUCUCGCAGCAAAUACCUCUAAGAAAAACUUGAUUUUCCAACCUUUUCUUCUCCGAGGUUGAAGACGACUGUGUUUCGUGCAACAUGCAACUGUACGUCCAUGACGUCACAUUAUACUGUAUAUAUGUGACAUAGUGUAUGUGAAAACCGGAUGUCAAUAUCCUUAGAAAUCAGCUUGAUUAAUUGCUUCACAUUAUUAGUAGUUGCUCAUGAAGUGAAGCAUGAACACAAUCAAUUACAAAUCAUGUUCAAUCCUUUUUGUUUAUGACGGUCAAAAUGAGGCACACCAAUAACACAGAGUCUUUAAAACAAUAAAUAUUAGAAGCUCUCCUCACUGUACACAUCUUAGUUGUCCUUGUGGGAGCCUGUCGCACUCGUCUGCUCGCCUGCUGAAGAACUGACACAGUGGUGAAGGUUAAUACUCAGAAAAGAUUGUUAUUGUCAUUGCAACGCACACGGUUGUACAUAAAUAGUAAAUAAGACUUAAAUAAUUUAAUUGAAAAUACUAUUUACUAAAGAUAGCUCUGAGGAAGAAACUGUUUCUCAGUCUUGUUGUACAGGAACAGUUGGUCAGCAGUGGUAAUCAAUGUCUAAGCUAGUACUAACAACAAGCACUUACCUGGUUAACCACAUGGACUUGUCAGUGGCAGCAUCCAGCAUGGGCUGCCGUCUGGCGAUGCCGGCUGUGAUGCUAACGUUUCCCAGUGUGGAUCCAUGCAGCUGUGAGACAAGCAAAGAGAAGUCCUCUUCAUACACAGACCACAUGAAAACACUUCAGUGGUGCUUUUCCACCAUACAGUUCCAGCACGGCUCGACCCUACAUGGUUUGGUAU